rnacentral:lncRNA from 1 species
GCGGACCCGCGCCCCGCGCCUCCUUCGCCUGAACAGGGCUGCCCCGGGGGGUCUCGGCGGCGGAGAGGCAAGAAAGACGCCCAUGCUCCAGUUCCCAAGAGCAGGAAUUAUGUCUGAGAUUUUACCCUGGACUUUCCCCGGAUCUCUCAUUCUCUACAGCCAGACCCUUUCCUGUGGAACAUACAGAAAGUGUAUCCCCAAGCCCUCAGCUGCCAGGCACAAAAGGUUUAACAUCUUCUACCAAGGCCUGCCCUAUUUACCUCAAAAAGAACUAAGAAUGCUGCUUUCCUGAAAAAACAAACACACAAACCUCCGCGGCCGCCCCCGACCCCCUCCGUAAGCCCCCUCUGCAAGUGGAAUACAGUCUGAACUACUUUCACAGUUGGAAACCAGCUUACCAUUCUAACCUUCUAUCUGCUCAACACCUGUGUUCCAGUUAUACUGUGUUGGGCCAAUUGCCGUUCUUUGAAUAUAUCCUGGAUGUUUAAUGCCCCUGUGUGAUUUGCUCACUCUGUUCAUUUAUUCUGGAUUUCUCUUCAUCCCCAUCUUUACCUGUUGAAUUGUUCCCAAACCUUCAAGAGCCUACUGAGAUGCCUUCUUCUUUAACAAUGUUCUUCCAGAAAUUCCCAGUCAAAUCUGAGAGAUCAAUUAACUUCUCUUUCCCAACACUCUGUGCUUCUAUUACAACACUUACUAAGUUGGUCUGUAUGUUACAGCUGGCUGUGUCCUCUUGGCUCCCCACUGUCAUAGCCUGCAAGGCAUAAUAUGUUUCUGACUCAACUUAAAUCCCAUGGCAAUUGGCAACAUGCGUUUUAAAAUGAAUAACCAUCCUUUGGAUGUAUAUAAACUUUGCUUAUUGUAAAAAUUCAAAUAAAUAAAAGUAUAAGGAAGGAAAUAAACCA